rnacentral:rRNA from 1 species
GAUUAACGCUGGCGGCAUGCCUAAUACAUGCAAGUCGAGCGGAAGCAGCAAUGCUUUAGUGGCGAACGGGUGAGUAACACGUAGGGAACCUACCUAUACGACGAGGAUAACUACUGGAAACGGUAGCUAAAACUGGAUAGGAUCAAUUGAGGCAUCUUGAUUGAUUUAAAGAUCCUUCGGGAUUACGUAGAGAUGGCCCUGCGGCGCAUUAGCUAGUUGGUGAGGUAACGGCCCACCAAGGCGACGAUGCGUAGCUGAGCUGAGAGGCUAAACAGCCACACUGGGACUGAGACACGGCCCAGACUCCUACGGGAGGCAGCAGUAGGGAAUUUUCGGCAAUGGGGGAAACCCUGACCGAGCAAUGCCGCGUGAACGAUGAAGGUCUUCGGAUUGUAAAGUUCUGUGAUUGGGGAAGAAUGGUAUUCUUAGGGAAUGAGGAGUACAUGACGGUACCCGAUUAGAAAGCCCCGGCUAACUAUGUGCCAGCAGCCG